CUGUGUGUGUGUGUGUCUGUGUGUGUGUGUGUGUGUGUGUCUGUGUGUGUGUGUGUGUGUGUGUGUGUGUGUGUGUGUGUGUGUGUGUGUGUGUGUGUGUGUGUCUGUGUCUGUGUCUGUGUCUGUGUCUGUGUCUGUGUCUGUGUGUGUGUGUCCGUGUCCCCCAGCAAGAGUAGAGAAAUAAAGCGAGUCAGUAGUCGUGAUGGGAGCCAUUUCAAUUAACCAUUACAGCACAGAAUGGAAUACAGAAGUCUGACAAGAUGAAGAUGGUUUUAUUCUCUUUUUUAUUAGUUAUUUCUGCUUCGUGAAAAAGUUAGACUGCUGUGGAAUGAGUCACGCUACAUACUGCAGAGAGAGAGAGCGAGGGAGAGAAAAGACAGUAUCUGGACCAGCACGUUUGAUAAGACUGACAUUUCAGCCUGUUUUGGUGGGAUGGAUCUUUGGCCUGCCAGGCUCAGGUGGUGGCUGAGGCCAGGCUCAGGUGGUGGCUGAGGCCAGGCUCAGGUGGUGGCUGAGGCCAGGCUCAGGUGGUGGCUGAGGCCAGGCUCAGGUGGUGGCUGAGGCCAGGCUCAGGUGGUGGCUGAGGCCAGGCUCAGGUGGUGGCUGAGGCCAGGCUCAGGUGGUGGCUGAGGCCAGGCUCAGGUGGUGGCUGAGGCCAGGCUCAGGUGGUGGCUGAGGCCAGGCUCAGGUGGUGGCUGAGGCCAGGCUCAGGUGGUGGCUGAGGCCAGGCUCAGGUGGUGGCUGAGGCCAGGCUCAGGUGGUGGCUGAGGCCAGGCUCAGGUGGUGGCUGAGGCCAGGCUCAGGUGGUGGCUGAGGCCAGGCUCAGGUGGUGGCUGAGGCCAGGCUCAGGUGGUGGCUGAGGCCAGGCUCAGGUGGUGGCUGAGGCCAGGCUCAGGUGGUGGCUGAGGCCAGGCUCAGGUGGUGGCUGAGGCCAGGCUCAGGUGGUGGCUUAAGCCAUUUUGCCACAACUUUGGAAGUAUGCUUGGGGUCAUUGUCCAUUAGGAAGACCCAGUUGCGACCAAGCUUUAACUGAUGUCUUGAGAUGUUCCUUCAGUAUAUUCACAUAAUUUUCCAUCCUCAUGAUGCCAUGUAUUUUGUGAAGUGCAUCAGUCCAUCCUGCAGCAAAUCACCCCCACAACAUGAGGAUGCCAACCCUGUGCUUCACGGUUGGGAUGGUGUUCUUCGGCUUGCAAGCCUCCCCUUUUUCCUCAUACCAUGAUGAUGGUCAUUAUGGCCAAACAGUUCAGUUUCUGUUUCAUCAGAUCAGAGGAAUUUCUCCAAAAAGUACUAUCUUUGUCCCCGUGUGCAGUUACAAACCGUAGUCUGGCUUUAUUAUGGCAGUUUUGGAGCAGUGGCUUCUUCCUUGCUGAGCGGCCUUUCAGGUUGUCGAUAUAGGACGCAUUUUUACUGUGGAUAGAUACUUUUGUACCUGUUUCCUCCAGUCUCUUCACAAGGUCCUUUGCUGUUGUUCUGGGAUUGAUUUGCACUUUUCGCACCAAAGUAUGUUCAUUUCUAGGAGACAGAACGCGUCUCCUUCCUGUGCAGUAUGAUGGCUGUGUGGUCCCAUAGUUUUAUACUUGCGUACUAUUGUUUAUACAGAUGAACGUGGUACUUUCAGGCAUUUGGAAAUUGCUCCCAAGGAUGAACCAUACUUGUGGAGGUCUACAAUAUUUUUCUGAGGUCUUGGCUGAUUUCUUUAGAUUUUCCCAUGAUGUCAAGCAAAGAGGCACUGAGUUUGAAGGUAGGCCUUGAAAUACAUCCACAGGUACACCUCCAAUUGACUCACAUGAUGUCAAUUAGCCUAUCAGAAGCUUUUAAAGCCAUGAUAUUAUUUUCUGGAAUUUUCCAAGCUGUUUAAAGGCACAGUCAACUUAGUGUAUGUAAACUUCUGACCCACUGAAAUUGUGAUACAGUGAAUUAUAAGUGAAAUAAUCUGUCUGUGAACUAUUGUUGGAACAUUUACUUGUGUCAUGUACAAAGUAGAUGUCCUAACCGACUUGCAAAAACAAUAAUUUGUCAACAAGAAAUGUUUGGACUGGUUGAAAAACGAGUUUUAAUGACUCCAACCUAAGUGUAUGAAAACUUCUGACUUCAACUGUAUAUACAAUUGGUUAGGACAGCGUCGGGGGGUGCGCAUGUGUGGCGUUGAGGUGUGUGUGUGUGGUGUGUGUGUGUGGUGCUGGGGUGUGUGUGUGUGUGGUGUGGUGUUGGGGUGUGUGUGUGUGUGUGUGUGUGUGUGUGUGUGUGUGUGUGUGUGUGUGUGUGUGUGUGUGUGUGUGUGUGUGUGUGUGUGUGUGUGUGUGUGUGUGG